rnacentral:rRNA from 1 species
GAUGAACGCUGGCGGCGUGCCUAAUACAUGCGAGUCGAGCGAACAGACGAGGAGCUUGCUCCUCUGACGUUAGCGGCGGACGGGUGAGUAACACGUGGAUAACCUACCUAUAAGACUGGGAUAACUUCGGGAAACCGGAGCUAAUACCGGAUAAUAUAUUGAACCGCAUGGUUCAAUAGAGAAAGACGGUUUUGCUGUCACUUAUAGAUGGAUCCGCGCCGCAUUAGCUAGUUGGUAAGGUAACGGCUUACCAAGGCAACGAUGCGUAGCCGACCUGAGAGGGUGAUCGGCCACACUGGAACUGAGACACGGUCCAGACUCCUACGGGAGGCAGCAGUAGGGAAUCUUCCGCAAUGGGCGAAAGCUUGACGGAGCAACGCCGCGUGAGUGAUGAAGGUCUUCGGAUCGUAAAACUCUGUUAUUAGGGUAGAACAAAUGUGUAAGUAACUAUGCACGUCUUGACGGUACCUAAUCAGAAAGCCACGGCUAACUACGUG